UGGGGAAUCUUGGACAAUGGGGGCAACCCUGAUCCAGCCAUGCCGCGUGAGUGAUGAAGGCCUUAGGGUCGUAAAGCUCUUUCGCCUGUGAAGAUAAUGACGGUAGCAGGUAAAGAAACCCCGGCUAACUCCGUGCCAGCAGCCGCGGUAAUACGGAGGGGGCAAGCGUUAUUCGGAUUUACUGGGCGUAAAGGGCGUGUAGGCGGCUUGAUAGGUCAAAGGUGAAAGCCCUCGGCUCAACCGAGGAACUGCCUUUGAAACCAUCUGGCUCGAGGCCGGGAGGGGGUAGCGGAAUUCCUGGUGUAGCGGUGAAAUGCGUAGAUAUCAGGAGGAACACCAGUGGCGAAGGCGGCUACCUGGACCAGUUCUGACGCUGAGGCGCGAAAGCGUGGGGAGCAAACAGGAUUAGAUACCCUGGUAGUCCACACCGUAAACGAUGAAUGCCAGUCGUCGGGUAGCAUGCUAUUCGGUGACACACCUAACGGAUUAAGCAUUCCGCCUGGGGAGUACGGUCGC
rnacentral:rRNA from 1 species